AUGUGGCUGGUCCUCCUCCUCCUGCCGUGACUGAGCCCCGGGAUGAAGACAGCUGCUCCCAACCCCAGCAACUUUGCUAUCUUAGAACGGAUCACCAGUGAAAGAGGGGAAGUUGCUACUGUGAUGAAUUCUGCCAUGUGGUACCAGACUGCUGCCCAGACCACAGUGUCCUCUGCAACCCUGGUAACUCACAUACAGGCCUGAUUCCACCUACAGCAAAGCUGGAUGCUAUGGUUGGCAGAGCUUCUCAGAUGACCAAGAUGGUGCUGCCGAUGGUGUUGAGGACGGAGAACCCACCAAGCCCCGUUAGGAGCCACCUAGACUGGAUGCAGAGCACAGUUCAGCGACUUCUCCAAACCAGCCUCCCAGGAAUGCUGUUCUCUAUGGCCGUGAGGGGAAUCAAGAAGAGAGCCUGA
rnacentral:sRNA from 1 species